UUGUCACUCAACUCUGCUCCCAAUCUGGUCCCCUGGACACACAGGAGGGGGCUCCUGGGAAGAAGAAGGGGCUCUAGGUUACAACUGAAGGGGCUGUUUUGUAAACCUCCGGGUAUUCUCAGACCCAAGCAACCAUGUUUUGGGAACCCUCCUGCUGAGUAAUACUUAAGGGGCCAACCCUCCACUGUUCAGCUUCUCUAUUUCAAGAGCUUGUUAUGUUGACAACACUACCUAGAAUGAGACAGCUUGAUUGCCAAAACGGUCACGACUACUGGCUCCCAGCACACUUGCUGUUUGCAAUGUGAUGCUGCAGUUCCUCCAAUAAGGAAGUGGAGUCUACUUCUCCACCUUGAAUCUGGGCUGACAGUGUGGCUUGCUUUGGCCAAUAGAAGGAGGCAGAAGUCAUGUUGUGCCUUUUCAGAGCCUGGGCCUCAAGAAGCCUUGCAUUCUCCCACUCUCUCUAUUGGAACAUUGCCUCUACCACUGAACACACCUGAGCUAGCUGGCUGGAGGAUGAGAGACCACAUGACCCAGAGCCAAGUGGGCCCAGCUGUCCCAGCCAAAGCCCCAGGCAUGUGAAAGAGCCCAACCAAGAUCUGUCAAGUCCCAUACCCAAAUCCAGAGCUGACCACCAAUGCAUGAGGGAGCCCAGCUGAGUCUAGCCCAAAUAGCCAGCUGAUAAAAAGCAUAAACAAAAUAGAUGGUUGUCACUUUAAGCCACUACGGUUUGGCAUAGUUUGUUUUAUAGCAAUAGUGAACUGUUAAAGAACUUAACAGGAUACUGCAAUCAAGGCUGACGCGACCAGGGUAUUGAGCAGACACAAGUCUGAAGUCCCCUGUAUUUGCUUAUGAGCUUGUGCGAGGUACCUCUAGGAAUUUGUCCCCACUGCCAGCCCUGUGCCCCCGCCCUUGCCCCCACCACCAAAGCAGCAGAAGAGGUAUUUUCAAAUGGCUCAAGUCUGAGUGAGUUGGUGACAUUUAGAUUUAUGGCUGUUAAUGUGACUCCAUUUGUUCUCAUAAACUUGAGAGACCUAGGGAAAUUUGAGUAACAAAGAUUUUGUCACUGAACUCUACAAGUUUAUCUUUCAUGGGGCAGGACUAUCUUAAUUAAAGAGUUCAUUUUAUCCACCACUAAGCAAUUUCCAUAGCAUUUAAAAUAUUUAUAUGACACAGUGUCUGGAUCCAUCCUUGCAGAUGGGAGAGUGGAUUGAAGCUCUCGCUCAGCUGAUAUCUAAGUAGGCUCAUGUCCACAUGUCUUGGGCCCCAGACAGGAGACCUAUCUUACUAGGCUUUCCCUCCUCAGUUAAAACACAAACAGGUGCUGGUAAGAGGAAAAAAAAGAAAAGAAAAGAAAAGAAAAGGACCUAAAGUACAUAACCUAAACUUACUCAUUUCCACCUUUUGUCUCUUUUCACAAAAAGUAUUUGAUAGACAGCCUCAAGGCUAAACUCUCUCUUGGCCACCUUCCUGCUAAACAAAGUGCUUAUAAACAAUUUGGUAACUGAACCAUGUUUCAGAUUACGUGGGAUAUGUCAUAAAAUUUUCCUAGGAAUCCAUUCCGGUUUUUUUAACCCCAGGGUUACAUUCCACCAAAGCUCCCCUUCCAUUUUUGGAAGGAAAUACCAAUUACUUGGUGGGAAAAAUGUUACCCUAUCAAUACAAA
rnacentral:lncRNA from 1 species